rnacentral:rRNA from 1 species
UCUAGUGCAGAUCUUGGUGGUAGUAGCAAAUACACAAAUGAGAACUUUGUGGACUGAAGUGGAGAAAGGUUCCAUGUGAACAGCAAUUGGACAUGGGUUAGUCGAUCCUAAGAGAUGAGGUAAUCCUGUAUGAAGUGCGCACUUGCGCAGCUCAUCGAAAGGGAAAUGGGUUAAAAUUCCCAUACCUGGACAAGGGUGCUGACGGUAACGUAAGCGAGCUCACAGACGUCGGCGAUGGCCCUGGGAAGAGUUCUCUUUUCUUUUUAACGACUCGAAGGCCCUGGAAUCUAAUCAUUAGGAGAUAGGGCUCAGAAGUCGGUAAAGCACCGCACGUCUCGCGGUGUCCGGAGCGCCAUUGACGAUCCUUGAAAAUGUGAGGGAGCGGAUCUUACACUUCUUGCCAGGUCGUACUCAUAACCGCAUCAGGUCUCCAAGGUGA